rnacentral:rRNA from 1 species
GAAUCAGUACGCUGGUCGUGCCUUCGGUAUGUACUGGUGUCACUGGUUUCUCCCUUCUGAAGAACCAUCAUGCCAUUCACUUGGUGUGGUGGGAAAUCAGGACUGUUACUUUGAAAAAAUUAGAGUGUUCAAAGCAGGCACAACCUGGCAUCAUGAAUACAUUAGCAUGGGAUAAUAGAA